rnacentral:rRNA from 1 species
UACGUAGGGGGCAAGCGUUGUCCGGAAUCAUUGGGCGUAAAGCGCGUGUAGGCGGUCCGGUAAGUCGGUUGUGAAAGUCCAGGGCUCAACCCUGGGAUGCCGACCGAUACUGUCGGACUAGAGUUCGGAAGAGGCGAGUGGAAUUCCUGGUGUAGCGGUGGAAUGCGCAGAUAUCAGGAGGAACACCGAUGGCGAAGGCAGAUCUCUGGGCCGUAACUGACGCUGAGGAGCGAAAGCGUGGGGAGCAAACAGG